UUUGAAGUAUGAAGCUUUUUUUGGUGAAUAAUAUGAAUAAAAUGAAUAUAGUUCCUGAGAUCGAGACAUUUCCAUAACGGAUUUUGAUCCUGAUUAAGAAUAUAUAAGAUUUAAGGGUAUACUUAAUUCGUUGACAAGUAUGUAACAGGUAAAAGAAAGCGUUGAAAAUAAAAAUCCCUAGGAGAGUCGAUCUGGCCAUGUCCGUUUCCUGUCCGUUUGAAGUUCUUGACUAUCUACAGACUUUUAUCUGUUAUAUCUGAAUGGAGAAGGGGUAUAAGGUGAUCCUAAGCUGCAAACCCUAGACACCACUACUGUUAAGGGGAAAAAGGAGAUCAGUGCAGUCUGAAAUUGGCCUUUACCAACGCAAAGACCAAUAAUUAUUUGAUUCUAGUGUAAAAAAAAUGUAAAUCAAAAUCUCCUGAUUUUGAGGCAAUUAAACGGAAAGACGAACAUGGCCUGAUCGACUGGGCUAGUGAUACUGAUCACGCAUAUAUAUGCUUUAUAGGCAAAAGCUCUUUUCUUCCUGUUAAUCCUUUUAAACGGAUCACCAUUGUACUCUACGAGUAACGGUAAUAAAGUUUAAGUUUAUAUAUAAUAUUUAUUGGACUUACUUAUUGUUCAAUAAGUCCAAGUCAUGUGUCAGCGGAUAAAUUAAAUAAAAAAAUUUGAAUAUACUAACAUUCUUUUUCCUUAUUGUGCAUAAACAUUUCAGAUUCCGUUAGAUAAAUCCAAAUAUUUCGCAUGCAGAUUAUUUUAAAGCCAGCAUCGUUGG